UCCAUCUCAAAAAAAAACAAAAACAAAUUUAUUUCUUAAAGUUAAAAAAAUAUCUGAAGCAAAUAUGACAAGAUGUCCACAUUUGUUAAAAUCUGAGUGGUAGGUAAAUGUUUUUAUAUUCUGUUAUUUUCCAAGUUUCAAUUAUUUUACUGUUUAAAAAAGCUUGUAUAAUAUGAGAGAGUACAUUUACCUGAAUGUUUUGUUUGCCACCUUUAUUAGGUUGUGAGGACUGCCAUAACAAAAUACCACAGCCUGCAUGGCUUAAACAACAGAAAUUUAUUUUCUCAUGGUUCUGGAGGCUGGAAGUCCAAGAUCAAGGUGUUGGUAGAAUUGGACUUGGAGACAGCUGCCGUCUGAGACACACAGAAGAAAGAUGUGUAAGCUGAAGGAGGAGAGUGAGAUUGAAGCAUUUAUCUCGCCAGCUUCUGCCCGGUGGGCUUGUCGUGGUUGGCUGAAGCCCUCUACCGAAGGCCACAGCUGUUGUAGACCUGCGUUUUCCAUAUACUUAUUCUUUUUGGGUUCUAUGAAAGUUCCAGAAACUUCCAUGUCACUUUGACCUUGUAGACCUAGGGGUAGAAAUGGCUCUCUGCUGUAAUAGCCUAGCCUUAAGAUAAUGCAUGUUCUCUUGAGUGGUUUAUUUUAACUUGGCCCACAACCUGGCAAAUUGUCCCUCUAUGAAAUGCCCCUCCAUUAACCCACUUGAAUGUGUCAUCUGUGUCCUGCCAGCGUCCUGAAUGUCACACAUGUGAUCUUAUUUAAUUCUUAUUGCAGCCAGGAAGAGUUUUAUAUUAUUACCACAUAGCACACUUGAGAAAGCCUCAGGGAUAUGAAACACCUUGCCUGAAGUGACAUACUUUGUAAACGGGAGGGCAGGACUCCAAGGGAGGCCCUCUGGCUCAGCUCUCCUGCCCCUUGCUAUGCUGAACUCUGUUGGAUUACCUCUGCGAGUCUCACACGUAUGGUUUCACAGCCCCCUUUUCAUAAAAAUACUUGGCAAACCUCUUGACUUUCUUGAAAUGAAAUUAAUAAAUUAUACAAUUUAUCUAAACACCUAAUUUCCAAUAAAAUACAUAUAUUAAAAAUAAAAGGACAGUUAUUUAUAAUAAAAUAUAGUCAUGAACUGCA